rnacentral:rRNA from 1 species
GAUGAACGCUGGCGGCGUGCCUAAUACAUGCAAGUCGAGCGAACGGACGAGAAGCUUGCUUCUCUGAUGUUAGCGGCGGACGGGUGAGUAACACGUGGAUAACCUACCUAUAAGACUGGGAUAACUUCGGGAAACCGGAGCUAAUACCGGAUGAUAUUUUGAACCGCAUGGUUCAAAAGUUAAAGACGGUCUUGCUGUCACUUAUAGAUGGAUCGGCGCUGCAUUAGCUAGUUGGUAAGGUAACGGCUUACCAAGGCAACGAUGCAUAGCCGACCUGAGAGGGUGAUCAGCCACACUGGAACUGAGACACGGUCCAGACUCCUACGGGAGGCAGCAGUAGGGAAUCUUCCGCAAUGGGCGAAAGCCUGACGGAGCAACGCCGCGUGAGUGAUGAAGGUCUUCGGAUCGUAAAACUCUGUUAUUAGGGAAGAACAUAUGUGUAAUUAACUGUGCACAUAUUGACGGUACCUAAUCAGAAAGCCACGGCUAACUACGUG